rnacentral:rRNA from 1 species
GACGGAGGAUGCAAGUGUUAUCCGGAAUCACUGGGCGUAAAGCGUCUGUAGGUGGUUUAAUAAGUCAACUGUUAAAUCUUGAGGCUCAACCUCAAAAUCGCAGUCGAAACUAUUAGGCUAGAGUAUAGUAGGGGUAAAGGGAAUUUCCAGUGGAGCGGUGAAAUGCGUAGAGAUUGGGAGGAACAUCAGUGGCGAAGGCGGCCAUCUGGGACAACACUGACGCUGAAGCACGAAAGCGUGGGGAGCAAACAGG